UGCGGACACAUAGGACAGCUGCUGGUAAGCUACAAGAGCGGUCCCAAAUAGGAAGUUCUAUCAGAUAUUGUUAAAUCGUGGAAGUCAAUUAUUUAAAAAAAUAAUAAUAAUUUACAGUUAAAUAUGGAUCAUAUCUUUAUGAGAAUACAGUGGUUUAAAAUUAAAUGAUUUGUUAUUCAGAAAGAACACCCCCGAAGAAAUCGCUAUAAGACGAAACGCGUUGGAUGAAAGCUUAUUAAUUUCUUGUUUGGGAAAGUUGAAAUUCAACAUUGUAUCUAUAAUGAAUAACAACAUAUUGUGAAAAUGUUUAGCAAUUUUUCUUUUUAAUGGAAAUGAUGAUUUAAAUUGUUUUUAACAAUAUAAAGAAACAAGUGUCUUGAGGAAAAAGGGUGUUUUUGCAUAGUCAUCCUCUCUUUGCUGGUAACCAGAUAUAAACAUACCUAAUUAUACUUAAACCAGUAAUCAGAUACAAACACACCAAAUCAUACUUUAAUAAGUGCGCUCCACAGAGAUUUUUUCGGUUUCUAUUUAAUUCUAGUCUCCUUCGACAGGGGAUCAUCUCUGUGUGGAAGCUUGCCUAUUGAUAAAGGUGUAGGGUUAAAGAAAUUGAUUUAAAAUAUACUAACUGAUUUUGAAUAAAUAAAACAGUAGUUCUAUUUCUUGAGCGUA